rnacentral:rRNA from 1 species
GUGGGGAAUAUUGGACAAUGGGCGAAAGCCUGAUCCAGCCAUGCCGCGUGUGUGAAGAAGGUCUUCGGAUUGUAAAGCACUUUAAGUUGGGAGGAAGGGCAGUAAGUUAAUACCUUGCUGUUUUGACGUUACCGACAGAAUAAGCACCGGCUAACUUCGUGCCAGCAGCCGCGGUAAUACGAAGGGUGCAAGCGUUAAUCGGAAUUACUGGGCGUAAAGCGCGCGUAGGUGGUUCAGCAAGUUGGAGGUGAAAUCCCCGGGCUCAACCUGGGAACUGCCUCCAAAACUACUGAGCUAGAGUACGGUAGAGGGUAGUGGAAUUUCCUGUGUAGCGGUGAAAUGCGUAGAUAUAGGAAGGAACACCAGUGGCGAAGGCGACUACCUGGACUGAUACUGACACUGAGGUGCGAAAGCGUGGGGAGCAAACAGGAUUAGAAACCCGGGUAGUCC